UACGUAGGGAGCAAGCGCUAUCCGGAAUUAUUGGGUGUAAAGGGUGCGUAGACGGGAAUUUAAGUUAGUUGUGAAAUCCCUAGGCUCAACUGAGGAACUGCAACUAAAACUGGAUUUCUUGAGUGCUGGAGAGGAAAGCGGAAUUCCUAGUGUAGCGGUGAAAUGCGUAGAUAUUAGGAGGAACACCAGUGGCGAAGGCGGCUUUCUGGACAGUAACUGACGUUGAGGCACGAAAGUGUGGGGAGCAAACA
rnacentral:rRNA from 1 species